GAUGAACGCUGGCGGCGUGCUUAACACAUGCAAGUCGAACGGAAAGGCCAGUGCUUGCACUGGUACUCGAGUGGCGAACGGGUGAGUAACACGUGGGUGAUCUGCCCUGCACCUCGGGAUAAGCCUGGGAAACUGGGUCUAAUACCGGAUAGGACAAUGGUUUGGAUGCCGUUGUGGAAAGUUUUUUCGGUGUGGGAUGAGCUCGCGGCCUAUCAGCUUGUUGGUGGGGUAAUGGCCUACCAAGGCGUCGACGGGUAGCCGGCCUGAGAGGGUGUACGGCCACAUUGGGACUGAGAUACGGCCCAGACUCCUACGGGAGGCAGCAGUGGGGAAUAUUGCACAAUGGGCGCAAGCCUGAUGCAGCGACGCCGCGUGGGGGAUGACGGCCUUCGGGUUGUAAACUCCUUUCGCUAGGGACGAAGCGUAUUUGUGACGGUACCUGGAGAAGAAGCACCGGCUAACUACGUG
rnacentral:rRNA from 1 species